CCCUUCUCAGACCUCAUUUAAGUGUUGGCAGUGGAGGUAAGGGUAUCUUAUAGGAGAUUUCUAUGCACCUGAGGUCUUCCUAAGGAUGUGUACAGCAUGCUCAUUUGUCUGGAACCUCUGAAUUCUUCAUCAACAAGACUGACAGAUAACAGUUCUGACCAGCUUGGCGAGUGCUAUGCAAAAGCUUGUGACUUGUGCUGCUGCUGGAACAUGGGAGGGCCUCUUAUCUGAACAAUUUCUAGACGCAGAGCUACAGCUGCUAAUUUUACAAGCUAUUCUGCUUCCAGGAACAGCAAAUGUGAAUGAUAAACAUCAACGAAUUGCACUUAAUAUGGUUCCCCGAACAGAUUUCUGAAGGCAGCACAAUGUGGAGUUGUGGGUAAUUGAAGCCUCAAGGCAUUCUUGUCCCUUGAUCUUUACCUGGUUACAGAACCUCAUCUCCUAAUGCCAAAUCCCAUUAGGAUACCCCAAAAUGACAGAUGGCUCUGCCUAACUGCCAGUCGGCACAGAUGUGAUCCUUGGUUUUGGACAAACAAUAGGACUCAUUUUCCUAUGUAGUAACCUAAAUUUCCCUGGCCCAAGUGUAGCAGCUCUGUGACAAUAAAGCAAGUUGUUCUGUAUAAAUUAAGAGGGGUGUGUGUGUAUACGUGCAUGCCUAUAAAAUUUCUAUGAAGCAGAAUUACAGAUCUGGGG
rnacentral:lncRNA from 1 species